rnacentral:rRNA from 1 species
GAUGAACGCUGACGGAAUGCUUAACACAUGCAAGUCCACUUGAAUUUGGGUUUUUUCCCUUAGAUUUGGGUGGCGGACGGGUGCGUAACGCGUAAAGAACUUGCCUCACAGCUAGGGACAACAUUUGGAAACGAAUGCUAAUACCUGAUAUUAUGAUUAUAAGGCAUCUUAGAAUUAUGAAAGCUAUAUGCGCUGUGAGAGAGCUUUGCGUCCCAUUAGCUAGUUGGAGAGGUAACGGCUCACCAAGGCGAUGAUGGGUAGCCGGCCUGAGAGGGUGAACGGCCACAAGGGGACUGAGACACGGCCCGUACGCCUACGGGAGGCAGCAGUGGGGAAUAUUGGACAAUGGACCAAGAGUCUGAUCCAGCAAUUCUGUGUGCACGAUGACGUUUUUCGGAAUGUAAAGUGGUUUCAGUUGGGAAGAAAAAAAUGACGGUACCAACAGAAGAAGUGACGGCUAAAUACGUG